rnacentral:rRNA from 1 species
GUCUACGGCCACACCACCCUGAACGCGCCCGAUCUCGUCUGAUCUCGGAAGCUAAGCAGGGUCGGGCCUGGUUAGCACUUGGAUGGGAGACCGUCUGGGAAUACUGGGUGCCGUAGGCU